UGCUCAAGUGGUGUUCUUUUCUUUCAAACUGUCUGACUGAUAACAAUGAAUCAAAAUGUAUAUACCUUAAUCAUAUGUAAAACUAGAUUUAAUUAUAACAAUUAUUAUUUCUUAUGUAUUACAUAAGAAAUUAUUAUUGAUAAGGAGUCAGAGGUGGGUGGUUGUGGGUGUGUUGCUUUGACCCAUAUUCAACAUAACAGAAAAAGUAAAUGAACUCAAACAAUUUUUCAAUUAUAUGAUGUUAUAAUAAAAAAAAAAAUCAACAUUUUGAUGGGGUAAAUACAUAUUUUUAUCAACCCAUGAUAUCAUUAACUUCAGACUGCGCCCCCAAGUCAAUAUACUUUCAGUUAGUUAAUAAAAUAUUUAUUUACCUAUCAAAAGACUAUGAUUUUAUUCUUAUUUGUUUCUGGUUUUAUGUUGCUAAAAAUAAAUGAUGUACAAUUAAAAAAUAAUUAAAAAGAACAUGAAAUAUAACAAGAUUAAAAAGGGUAUCCAUCCCAAGAAACAGCAACCUAAUAAAAUGCCCAUAUCUACAACAUCCAUUCAACCUAUGAAAUGCAGAUAAGAAAGUUUACUCUCAACCCAUUAUAACGGUCAAUCUAUUAAUUUCUACCCAAUCAAAUGUAAUAAAAAAAAAAUUGAAUUAAGUUUUUUAAGUUUUUAUAUCUAAUAUCAAUCUUUUUAUGUUGUCUCUAAAGUAUUAAAACAUUGAAAUGAAAAUAGAGGGAAAGAAGUUAAACUAAUAAAUGACUAGCUAAUUACCGAUUAAAUGCAAUAUAUAUGUACAAAAUGAACAAACAUACAAAGUUGCUUAACAAUCCGAUUCCAAAUAAAAUUAUUUUACUAUAAAAUAUUACAACAUAAAUCUACUGGUGAUUUUUAUCUACAAUUUUACAUUUGCUUACCGGGGUAGUCUAAGGGAGUUUUUUCCUUAUUAAAAAUGUACAUGGGCUAGUACCAAUAUAACAAUGAACUGGUUAUAUCA
rnacentral:lncRNA from 1 species